rnacentral:lncRNA from 1 species
GUCCAAUCAGCGCUCAGAUGCGAACUGCUCGACGCUCAUUGGUUCGUUAAGGAGGAAGAUGCUAAGUCCGCCGUGAACAGACCCUCCGAAUGAUCCCGGAGAUUUGAUCAAUUACCCGAAAAUCCGGACGUUUCCGCGCAUAUUAUGACGUAUGUGCUGGAUUUUUAAUUGAACUGAUUGAUUUUUUUUGCUUUUGUUUCUGUGCUGUCGGAUCUUCUGACGGUGCUGCUGUGUAGACGAUGCACGAGCGAUGUCUGAUGUGGAGGCCGCGUACGCAGACUUCAUCGCCUCGGGCAGGACGGGCCGCAGGAACGCGCUGCAUGACAUCCUGCAGAGUCCCACCGACGCAGAGGGAGGCCAGCUGCCCCUCAGCCUGUCCCUGUCCCGCCUGCACAUCAAUGCAGGAGGAGCAGAUGCAGACAGUAUGGAGGACGAGCAGAGCUCCUCGUUUUCGGCCCAGAGGGAGGCAGAGCAGAGGAACAGCUAACCUGCCCCGCCCUUUGCCCGGCGGAGCGGCAGGACGGCUGGCAGGAAGUGCCGCGGUGAAUUCCUGCGUCCGAACCUCGCAGCUGAAGGAUAGAGCCGACACUGCUCAUACGCCUUUGAGCACAACCAUCUGGUCUUCCAGGUCUCUAGAAUAG